CGUAGGGCGCAAGCGUUGUCCGGAAUUAUUGGGCGUAAAGAGCUCGUAGGCGGUUUGUCGCGUCUGCUGUGAAAGCCCCGGGGGCUUAACCCCGUGGUGUGCAGUGGGUACGGGCAGACUAGAGUGCAGUAGGGGAGACUGGAAUUCCUGGUGUAGCGGUGAAAUAGCGCAGAUAUCAGGAGGAACACCGAUGGCGAAGGCAGGUCUCUGGGCUGUUACUGACGCUGAGGAGCGAAAGCAUGGGGAGCGAACAGGAUU
rnacentral:rRNA from 1 species